UUACAAAUGAUGAAAAUAUUUAUUUAUAGCACAUUGCAACAAUGCACAGGAUAAAAUAAAAUUCAAACAAUGUCUGUCGUGAAACUGACUGCUGAAAUAUCUGCAGUUAUAUGCUUAUGAACGUGAGUUGCAACAACAUUAAACAGCUCAGGUAAACACACCUCUGAAAAAUGUCGUCUGCUCGGCAUGGCAUAACAGGGCUCAAUGUGCUCGAUCAGCCUGCGAAACUCCAACAUCUUCUACGACAGUGUCUGAUCAUCUAAGGCAAUGAAUUCCAUAAUCUUUUUGUGUAAUGACCUUUGCCAUGACACUAUCACUGGGAAACUUCCUUGCCUUUUCAAAAACGUCCGCCACAGACGGAGUGCACAUGCUCGGAGGGGUUUUGCUUUUCUGUGCCGCGUUCCUCUCAUAUUCAGCAUAGGGAUCGGGAUGUUUGGAUUUCAGCUGAUAAAUUAAACCAGACAUGCAGACGCACCUCCUCUUGAAAUUUCGGCAUUACACGUUUUGCAAAUCGCUAUCCGUGGGUCUUUCUCAGAUAUACUGAAAUACGUCCACACAUGUUGCUGCAGGCGCAGUUUCUGUUUGCGUCAUCACAUAAGAAUCUACAUACAUAAUUUUACAACUUACUGCUCAAGUGAACUGCUGACGUAACUGUACACAGUCACUGUUAUAGUCUUCUGCUCAUGUAACUGUAUAUGCUCAGUGUUAGUCUGCUGCUCAUCGAACUGUACAUACUCAGUGUUACAAUCUACUGCACAUAUAAAUGUACAUACUCAGUGUUACAAUCUACUGCUCAUGCAAGUGUACAUAGUGUUACGGUCUACUGUUCAUGUAACUGUACAUACUUAGUGUUACAGUCUACUGCUCAAGGAACUGUACAUACUCAGUGUUAUAAUUUACGGCACAUUUAAAUGUACAUACUCAGUGUUAUAACCAACUGCACAUAAAACUCUACAAACUCAGUGUUACAGAGUACUGCUAAUACAACUGUACAUAUUUAGUGUUACAGUCUACUUCUCAUGAAACUGCACAUACUGUUUUACAAUCUACUGCUCAUGUAACUGUACAUACUCAGUGAUAUAGUCGUAUAUGUUAUUGUCACUUUAUUCAUCCCAGAGGGAUUUUCAUGAUGAGUUGUACAUAAUAAUCUGUAACUGUACAUACUACUCUAUACCCUGUACAUAGUGUUAUACUCUUAAUAAAAGCUGCCUUCAUUGUGUACUAUUUGUUCUACAGGGUGGACUAUCCUCCUCCACAUAGAGCACAAGUGACACAAUGAGUUUUGGCGUCUCUGUGACGUCACUGUAUUGUUAAAAACCCAGAACGCGGAGCAGCAGCCCACAGACUACCUUCUAUUAAGUGUCAAACUUCUCCACCACGCAACUAACCGCGAUCAAUUUCAUCUUCUAAAGUGUCAACACACCAGCGAUUCAGCAAAUUGCCUAAAAGGGAAAACUAGAAAAGACCCACAGAAAUGCAAAAGUCAAGAAGAAGAAAGCUGACGCUUCAGGACAUUUAUUGCGAUUGGUCGGAUACACUUGAUUUUUAUACUAACAACGAACACAGAGAAUUAAAUGGCAGUGUUGAAAACCAUCUUCUGGCAUUUAAAGAAACCGACACCAGACAAAAUCUGGAAAUCCGAGGCCUGGAGGGCAAAGUCAGUAGCCCCAAGAAACUCAUGUCCAUAGUUGAGGUACAAUCUACUUAUUUUACAU